rnacentral:lncRNA from 1 species
CCCAACAAAGCAAUUUGAAAUUCCAAACCUGUGACCACUGGACAAGAUCACCUUUCUACCACUGAGAAGAAGAUCGGCGUUGGCUCGGGCCAAGUCUGGGAGACGGACAAGGCCUCCUUUCAACAUCGUGCCUCCAGGGGAACCAGGCCAAGUAUCGGCCCUCCACAGACAGCUGCAGCCCUUGGAGGCCUCCCCACUGAGUCCACACCCCUGGCCCAGGGCACUCAGGCUGGCUGA